rnacentral:rRNA from 1 species
CCUACGGGUGGCAGCAGUGAGGAAUAUUGGUCAAUGGCCGGAAGGCUGAACCAGCCAAGCCGCGUGAAGGACGAAGGUGCCAAGCAUUGUAAACUUCUUUUGUCAAGGGACAAAAUCAGGCUCGAGAGCCUGACCGAGGGUACUUGAAGAAAAAGCAUCGGCUAACUCCGUGCCAGCAGCCGCGGUAAUACGGAGGAUGCGAGCGUUAUCCGGAUUUAUUGGGUUUAAAGGGUGCGUAGGCGGAAUAUCAAGUCAGCGGUAAAAAUUCGGGGCUCAACCCCGUCGUGCCGUUGAAACUGAUGUUCUUGAGUGGGCGAGAAGUAUGCGGAAUGCGUGGUGUAGCGGUGAAAUGCAUAGAUAUCACGCAGAACUCCGAUUGCGAAGGCAGCAUACCGGCGCCCAACUGACGCUGAAGCACGAAAGCGUGGGUAUCGAACAGGAUUAGAUACCCCAGUAGUC